GCAGCCUGAUGCAGCGACGCCGCGUGAGGGACGACGGCCUUCGGGUUGUAAACCUCUUUCAGCACAGACGAAGCGCAAGUGACGGUAUGUGCAGAAGAAGGACCGGCCAACUACGUGCCAGCAGCCGCGGUAAUACGUAGGGUCCGAGCGUUGUCCGGAAUUACUGGGCGUAAAGAGCUCGUAGGUGGUUUGUCGCGUUGUUCGUGAAAACUCACAGCUCAACUGUGGGCGUGCGGGCGAUACGGGCAGACUAGAGUACUGCAGGGGAGACUGGAAUUCCUGGUGUAGCGGUGGAAUGCGCAGAUAUCAGGAGGAACACCGGUGGCGAAGGCGGGUCUCUGGGCAGUAACUGACGCUGAGGAGCGAAAGCGUGGGGAGCGAACAGGAUUAGAUACCCUGGUAGUCCACGCCGUAAACGGUGGGUACUAGGUGUGGGUUUCCUUCCUUGGGAUCCGUGCCGUAGCUAACGCAUUAAGUACCCCGCCUGGGGAGUACGGCCGCAAGGCUAAAACUCAAAGAAAUUGACGGGGGCCCGCACAAGCGGCGGAGCAUGUGGAUUAAUUCGAUGCAACGCGAAGAACCUUACCUGGGUUUGACAUGCACAGGACGUGCCUAGAGAUAGGUAUUCCCUUGUGGCC
rnacentral:rRNA from 1 species